rnacentral:rRNA from 1 species
CCUACGGGUGGCAGCAGUAGGGAAUCUUUCACAAUGGGCGAAAGCCUGAUGGAGCAACGCCGCGUGCAGGAUGAAGGCCUUCGGGUUGUAAACUUCUUUUAUAAGCGAGAAAUAUGAUGGUAACUUAUGAAUAAGGAUCGGCUAACUCCGUUCCAGCCGCCGCGGUCAUACGUAGGAUCCGAGCAUUAUCCGGAGUGACUGGGUGUAAAGAGUUGCGUAGGUGGCAUAAUAAGUAGCUAGGGAAAUCGGGUGGCUCAACCAUUCAGACUAUUAGCUAAACUGUUAAGCUCGAGGGCGGUAGGGGUAAGUGGAAUUUCUAGUGUAGGAGUGAAAUGCGUAGAUAUUAGAAGGAACACCAGUAGCGUAGGCAGGUUGCUGGGACGGUUCUGACGCUAAGGCACGAAAGCGUAGGGAGCAAACGGGAUUAGAUACCCUUGUAGUC